AUGCUUUUACUUAGUGAAAAUUGCUUGUUACCAUUUAGGUUUUAUGGGAAAGAGGGGAGGGAAGCAAAAUACAUGGAAAUAGGGGGAAACAAGAAGAUAAAGGGAAAGAAAAAAGGAGAAGGAAAAAAGAACAGGCAUUUGUUCAUGGUGUGGUGUGCUCCAAUUGUUAUCAACACAGAUCUUUCACUCCACAUAACAUUCAAGAAAGCCAUGCCAAAUUGUUUGAAGCUUGUCAUCUUUUCUUUCCCUUCAGCUCCGACCAAGGCGAGCUCUUCUCUUCUCUUCGGCUGCUCAAACAAACUCAUGGACUUUUUUCAAGUGCUAAUAGAUUUAUGGUCUCUGUCUCUGUCUCUCUCUCUUUUUCCCCAACGCCUAUCCGCAGUAAUUAGCACAUAUGUUCUAAAUAGAUGAUAGUUUUGUGAGCAAUAAAGCAAUUACCCAUCGCUGGAGCUGACAGUUCCUCCAACUAAACUCCAACCAGCAGCUAAUUGGGAAAGUCAUUUCGGCUCCAUUGUCUGCAAUUAGUCUUGCUAAACUACUACACCCCAAACUAGCCGGGUUUGGAAGUUUAUUUAUUCCAUUGGCCUUCCUGCCUUUGCAAAACGACCCUGGGAAUCAGGCCUCAACUGGGCGACCAGGUUGGCAAACCUCGCCUGGGCUGCCUUUCCUGCCUCUCCAAUCCCAACAGAAGCGAUCCCAAUUUCCUUUCUCUCACAGAGGCAGAUAUAGUCGCGACUGAAAGAUCCAAAGGAUCCCAAGCAUUUGUCCUUCCAACUCCACCGUUUCUUAAACAGAACAUUUCCCUAGCAAUCCGGGAUCAGUGGUCAAUUGAAGCCCAACGCAGGAGCUUUUUAAACGCUGCCUCUCUUAAGUUUUAUUUGGUGUGGAGUUCUGUUUUUCUUUCCUUCCCUUCCCUUCCAUUGGAAGCAAGGCAUGGCUUCGGAGGCCUGAGCCGGAAUGCUCAAACCCAAUAAAUCAAGGGCUCUGCUGAAAAACAGCGCCGUCAUUUGCUUGGUGACAAAUGGGAUGAUUGGGAGAAACUCGGUCUUAAAUAAUAAAUAAAUUAAGAAAUCCCUAGCCAGGAAUUUCGAACCGGUUAGCGACGUAGGUGGGUGGGUUGUUUCAAUGAUUAUUUGAUUGUAGUUGAAGAGAGGGGAAUGGGGAGAGCGAGCCAAAGGAGGGGCGAAAGCCUUCUUUCUCCCUGGCCCCCUUCCUUUCUUUUCUUCCUUUCUUUCCCCCGCAGGUUAAAGGGGGAAAUUAAGAGGUUUCCCCCGGCGGAGCCUGGCGCGCAGUGAGUGGAAGCGAUGCGUUAAACUGCGCUUUGACGCGCCAGCGGAGCUCCAUAAUGUCGCCCGGCCCAGCGCCUUGUCCUUAAUUUAAUCUGGGGGCCGAGGGGCUGCUUGGCUGGAGACCGGCUCUGGGCAAAAGGAGCAGGAGGAGGAGGCUGAGCUCUGGCUCUCAAGGGCCGCUUUCGGGAAGGCCUGGGUGGGUUGUGCGGGCGAAGAAGUGGGCCUCCCUCCUCAGUCCUGAGACUGAGCGGGGAGUCUGGCCUGAGCAGCCAUCCUUAGACAAAGCCCUUAGGUUCCCCCAGGGUGUAUUUAAAGUCAUUCCUUCUGGGUGCCCAUCUUCCCCAUCCAAAGAUCUUUCUACAUACAAUCCUGACACUCAGGUGGAGAAUUGAGUGUUUUAAACGGGAAGGGGAGAAAGGCAAAUACUGGUGACACCUGAUAGUUUUAGGGAAUGCAUCUUCCCAUCCUGAUCUCUGUUCUUCCUUCCUGCCCGGGUUGUUGUCAGGGCUGGGCUCCCCUUUGGGUUCACACACCUCAAUACUGCCCCAUCCCUGGAAGCUGGGCACAAGUGCGGCUCUUUUAAGACAAGAGUACAUUACUGGGUGAGAGACUCCCUCCUGGGCACACAGAAGACUGGGCGACUUGGAAGCUGAACAGACUGCGCUCUGGCACCAGGAGAUGCAGAGCCAACCUUAAGAAUUGGGGCCACAAAGUGAAGUCCAAGACAUACAAGUGAGGAGAAAAGCAAACCACAGACCACCGACUACAAUGCAGCCUGAGCCCUGCCAGAAUGGAGGACCUUCUUAUAGCAACACCAGAGGCACUCCAAGUGGCCAGUACUGGUCAAAGUACAUUUAGUAUAAUGACAAGUUUUUAAAUUUGUGUUUUUAAAUAAAUUACAAAUGUACCCUCGGUUCGCUUUUGACACGGUAAAUAAAUAAAUAAAUACUGGGGUUUUAUCAUCACUUUCACUCACCAUUCUUGCCUUUAAAAAUCAUUUCCAGCCUUGGAAGCUGGCUCUAAAAUGGUUUCUGAGCCCCUGGUGGUCAUUUUUAAAAAAAUGGACAAACCAUAAGAAAGCCUCCGUGGCCAUCUACAGUGACCAUUUAAUGCAGUUCGAAGUUUCCAAACAAGAAAGCCCUUCGUGUGCAUCCGUCUUCUGUGGUUUGUGUAAUCACAACAAGGGCCUCAAAUUGAUUCCAGGAUUUCCUAUGUAAUAAUCUGCACAGCUAAACUACUUGGAUAUGCAUGAAAUGGUCAGUGUAGAUGGCGCCUGUGUCUUUUGAAACCAAUGCACGGAGGAUUCAGGCCAGCCAAGCUCGGUUUUCUGGUCAUCCUAAAACCCUGGUCUCCCAGACUGGGCCGGAGGUGGUGAGGGAAGGAAUAUUGAGGGGAAAGCCAUGUUUGUGCGGAUAAACCGAGGUCUGGUCUGACCCAGCUUUGGCUCAGAGGCCUGGCAGUCCUGAAGAAGGAAUUUGCCGGAGGAGGAAGAAGGCCACAUCCCUGGGGAGAAAUAAAGUGACACCAAACAGCCCGAUUUUAACAGGAGAAAUCUCCAGAGAUCUAAAGUUUAGCCGGUAUUGCACCACCUGACAUCCUCCGGGAAGUAGCUGCCAGCAAUGAAAUGACCAAGGCAGUGACAUCUCCGGCCCAUCCCCUGUUCGGAUAUUAGCCAACACACCACCUCAAGCCAUGGACGAUACCUAGUGAGAGACUCCCUCCUGGGCACACAGAAGACUGGGAGACUUAGAAGGCGCUGAACAGACGGUUCUCAGACAACACAAGAUGCAGAGCCAACCUUAAGAAAUGGGGCCACAAAGUGGAGCCCACGACAUGCGAGUGUGGAGAAGAGCAAAGCAUAGAACACCUACUACACAUCAGCCUAAGCCCUGCCACAUGCACAAAGGAGGACCUCCUUAUAGCAAUACCAGAGAUACUCCAAGUGGCCAGCUACUGGUCAAAGGACAUUUAGUAUCAGGCCAAGUUUUUAACUUUGUUUGUGUUUAUAAAUACAUAUCCUCGGUUUGCUUCUGAUACGAUAAAUCAAUAUGGAAAAUUGGGGAGAGGGUGAGGUGGAGGAAGAGAGAGAGGCCCUGCCAUAACUUCCUGACGGAAGUGUCUUUGGGAUCCCUUUUCCCACGCGGGACCCAUCUGACAAAAUGCUAGACAAGUACAGCAAUUGGAGCGGCGGGAAAACUGGGAAGGCUUUGCCUUGCCAAAAUGACCCCUCUGCUGUAUCUCCGGAAGAAGCAGGGAGGGAAACAGUCUUUCUCUUUCUCUUUCCCUCUCUCUGCCUGUGGGCCUUCUUCUUCCCAAGCGAGGCUCCUCCUGGCCCCGCGGCCUGGGUGCAUUCCUGGGCUGCCUCCCCGAAGCCUUCCUUCCCCGAGGCCUGGAGCCCUUUUGCCGCCGAGCCUCCUGCUCUUCGGGAGCGAAGGCAUUUUUCGGGGCUUGGCCCUCCUCUCGCCGCUCUGGAGAGCGAUUAGACGGUGCCUAUUCAAAGCUGCUGAUCCAAAGAGAAAAGAGGAGUAGAUAAAAGGCGAUUUCAAGUGACCUCUUCGUCCUUUUCACACCAACCUGAGUCGCCAGAAUAGCCGAGGAUCAAUUGGGACAAAAGACUCAGCCAAGCCCGCUCUCUCCUCCUCCUCUCCUCUCCUCCUCCCCCUCCUUCGCCCUUUCAGCUUCUCAAACCUCCCUGCAAAGGGUUAAGAAUAAAACCGGCCCUUCUCUCCCCCCCCCCCCCCAACACACACACAUACACACAACUUUGCCAGGGUCUUGCCAUUCAGGGAUACUUCUGGAUGACCCCUCUUGCUCUGCCCACUCGGUGUGACACGACUCUUUUGGGUCUGGUUGCAUUGACCUUUCUCUUUCUCAACACCCCCCCCUUUAAACAGCGCCUCCCCCCCCCCCAAAAAAAGUCCUUCUCCCGCCCUCCUUUGCCUUCUCCCGAGCUGCCUGACAGAACAGGCCUGUAAUAAACAUAUCUCGGCCCUGACAGUUUAAGUGAAAAGUGAGAUUUAUUACUUAUAUCAAGGCUUAGGAUGAGCUCCGGGUGAUUCUCGCACCAGCAGCUCACGCCCGGCCUUCCUGGGCGCUUGCUUCUCUUUCUUCUCCCCCCCCCCCUCCCCAGGAAUAAAAUAAAAUAAAAUAUCAAACCCUCAGCCCAAGUUUCACACCAUCUGCGCCUCCAAGCCAAAGGAGGCAAGUGACAAGCGAUAACUUAGCAGCCAGUGGGAACUCUUCCUCUCGCUCCAUCCCCCCCCCCUUUCUCCCUUUCCUUUGGUCUCUUCUAUUUUUGUUUGAAAUGUUUUGAUUUCUUCUUCUUCUUUUUGAGCUUGGGGAGGAGACGUCCAAGUUAACCCCCCCCCCCCCCCUUUAUCCUCCCCGUCCUUCUGAUGGACUAAUCCUUCUGAUAAAAAGAAAAUGGGAGCCGUGACAGGUGACUAUUAUGGAGAACCAUUCGGCCAUCCGGGGGACCGCAUUGUCCCGACACGAGAGGACAAGGCAGCCACUCCUGGGGCAAGUGUGUCCCUUUCUUUCCCAUGCCGAGGAGCCUCCCGAUCCCUCUCUCUAUCAGGGAGUUGCGUCUAUAUCUGAGGCCAUCCUCUCUCCCGAGCUUUUUGGAUUAGGUUUGAUGGGGUCGCCCAGAAGCCCUCUCCCCUUCCCUCCCUUCAUGCCUUCUUCUUCACCCACAGAUUUAUACUGGCUUCCCACACCCUCUUCUCUGACCACCGCUGGAUCUGCACCGAAAGUUAAGGUUUGGUGGGGACUCCGACAACUCGCCCUUUCGUGUGAUGAGAUUCAGAGGUAGGGAAGGUGAAGGGUCAGUCACCGCCAAAGCCCUUAUGGCUUGUCCCUUUGAGGUGACCUUUGGUGAACCCAGAGCCGAGAAAGUCUGUUGAAAAUAUAUGCAAGUGGGAUUUAUAUAUCUGUGUAAUGUUCAGGGUGGGAGAAAGAACUCUUGUCUCUUUGAGACAAGUGUGAAUGUUUCAAUAGGCCACCUUGAUUAGCAUUCAAUAGCCUUUCAUUUUCAAGGUCUGGCUAUUUACUGAG
rnacentral:lncRNA from 1 species